rnacentral:rRNA from 1 species
UACGGAGGGUGCAAGCGUUAUCCGGAUUCACUGGGUUUAAAGGGUGCGUAGGCGGAACAGAAAAGUCCGUUGUGAAAUCUCCGAGCUUAACUCGGAAAUUGCGGUGGAUACUAUUGUUUUAUACUGUUGAGGUUAGCGGAAUAUGUCAUGUAGCGGUGAAAUGCAUAGAUAUGACAUAGAACACCAAUUGCGAAGGCAGCUGGCUAAACAGAUAUUGACGCUGAGGCACGAAAGCGUGGGGAUCAAACAGG